rnacentral:rRNA from 1 species
GAUGAACGCUGGCGGCGUGCCUAAUACAUGCAAGUCGAGCGAACAGACGAGGAGCUUGCUCCUCUGACGUUAGCGGCGGACGGGUGAGUAACACGUGGAUAACCUACCUAUAAGACUGGGAUAACUUCGGGAAACCGGAGCUAAUACCGGAUAAUAUAUUGAACCGCAUGGUUCAAUAGUGAAAGACGGUUUUGCUGUCACUUAUGGAUGGAUCCGCGCCGCAUUAGCUAGUUGGUAAGGUAACGGCUUACCAAGGCAACGAUGCGUAGCCGACCUGAGAGGGUGAUCGGCCACACUGGAACUGAGACACGGUCCAGACUCCUACGGGAGGCAGCAGUAGGGAAUCUUCCGCAAUGGGCGAAAGCCUGACGGAGCAACGCCGCGUGAGUGAUGAAGGUCUUCGGAUCGUAAAACUCUGUUAUUAGGGAAGAACAAAUGUGUAAGUAACUAUGCACGUCUUGACGGCACCUAAUCAGAAAGCCACGGCUAACUACGUG